rnacentral:tRNA from 1 species
UUAGAUUGGCAGAUUAAGUGCAUCAGAUUUAGAAUUUGAAUAUGUAUGAGUUACAUUUAAU